rnacentral:rRNA from 1 species
GCUUCGCCCUUAACAUACACAGAGAAAUACAACCCUGUUCGCCAGAGAACUACAAGUGAAAAACUAGAAACUCCAAGGACUUGGCGGUGCUCCAUACCGACCUAGAGGAGCCUGUCCUAUAAUCGAUACUCCACGCUAAACCUCACCACUCUUUGCACCUCAGCUUAUAUACCGCCGUCGUCAGCUUACCUUGUGAAAGAAAUAAAAUAAGCAAAAUAGUCUUAAACUAACACGUCAGGUCAAGGUGUAGCACAUAAAGUGGCAGAGAUGGGCUACAUUUUCUACUACAGAAAACACGAAUAGAGCAGUGAAACCUGCCCCUGAAGGCGGAUUUAGCAGUAAGACAAACAAGAAAAUCUCUCUUAACCCCGCUCUGGAGCGCGC